CCGAUCCAGAAAAAAAUAUCCCAGGGAUUCAGUCAUGUUCUAAUGAACAGCGGUGGCUUCCGGCGGCGAUACGAGUGGGCCCGGUGGGAGCACGGGCUCCGGCGUUGUCCUCUCAACCCCUCUGUGCGAGAUGAGCAUCGCGUGAAUGGCGAUUGCUCAGGGGGUCGAGGGGCCUGAGCUGUCCCAACACAAGACAGACGUCCGUGUGAUGGACGACGCCUUGCCGGUGACGAACACCUGGCCGAAGUCGAGCGCAGUCCGUGAGCCAGGUCAUGGUCGGGCGGCGGAGCUGGUCGUGGCUGCUUCAUGAAGAGGUUAUCUUCAGAGCUACAGCUUGGAUCAGUACGUGGUCCUUACUCACUUCUAUGGACUCCAGGGAGCCUUUGGUUACUGGGUGCAACCAAUGAGAGAUGGUAGCUCGGGUUAUCUUCAACCGGUUCGGAUGACGCUCGCAUAAUAGGAUAGGAGUCUAGAGAGCUUAUCCUUUUUAUCUUCAUUGUGCCGGUUGGCAUGGUUCGCAUGUACUUUUCCUUUUUUUGAUACUCUAUUCUGCUCCGUUUUGUGAGCUGUAAGACUCUUAUGAUGAUUUUGAAUUGUUAAUAAGAUGGCCGCAUGUAUCAUCAUGAUGCA
rnacentral:rRNA from 1 species